rnacentral:rRNA from 1 species
GAUUCUACGAGCACGCAGAUUAAGAAUUCCGCAUGCACGAGUCGACGGAACACGCCGCAUGAGUAUGAGGCCUUCCGGUCGUAAAACUCGUGGUAGGAGGACAAGUGCUAGUGAUAAGCUUGCACCUUGACGUACUAACCAGAAAGGCCACGCCUACUUACGUGCCAGCAGCGCGGUAAUACGUAAGGUGCAAGCGUUAUUCCGGAAAUUAUUGGCGUAAAGCGGCGCGGCAGGUGGUUUCUUAGUCUUGAUUGUGAAAGCCCACGGCUCAACCGUGGAGGGUCAUUUGGAACUGGGAGACUUGAGUGCAGAAGAGGAAAGUGGAAAUUCCAUGUUGUAGCGGUGAAAUGCGUAGAAGAUAUGGAAGGAAACACCAGUGGCGAAAGGCGGACUUCUUGGUCUUGUAACUGAACACUGAGGCGCGAAAGCGUGGGGAGCAAACAGGAUUAGAUACCUGGUAGUCCACGCCGUAAACGAUGAGUGGUAAGUGUUAGAGGGUUUCCGCCCUUUAGUGCUGAAGUAACGCAUUAAGCACUCCGCCUGGGGAGUACGGCCCGCAAGGCUGAAACUCAAAGGAAUUGACGGGGGCCCGCACAAGCGGUGGAGCAUGUGGUUUAAUUCGAAGCAACGCGAAGAACCUUACCAGGUCUUGACAUCCUCUGACAACCCUAGAGAUAGGGCUUCUCCUUCGGGAGCAGAGUGACAGGUGGUGCAUGGUUGUCGUCAGCUCGUGUCGUGAGAUGUUGGGUUAAGUCCCGCAACGAGCGCAACCCUUGAUCUUAGUUGCCAUCAUUAAGUUGGGCACUCUAAGGUGACUGCCGGUGACAAACCGGAGGAAGGUGGGGAUGACGUCAAAUCAUCAUGCCCCUUAUGACCUGGGCUACACACGUGCUACAAUGGACGGUACAAAGAGCUGCAAGACCGCGAGGUGGAGCUAAUCUCAUAAAACCGUUCUCAGUUCGGAUUGUAGGCUGCAACUCGCCUACAUGAAGCUGGAAUCGCUAGUAAUCGCGGAUCAGCAUGCCGCGGUGAAUACGUUCCCGGGCCUUGUACACUCCGCCCGUCACGCCACGAGAGGGUGUCACAUAGAGUUGGCCGGGGCUCACCAAGUGGAACCAAGGCACCCGAGGAGUUUCCCGAUUA